GAUGAACGCUGGCGGCGUGCCUAAUACAUGCAAGUCGAGCGAACAGACGAGGAUCUUGCUCUUCUCACGUUACCGGCGGACGGGUGAGUAACACGUGGAUAACCCACCUCUUUGACUGGACUAACUUCGGGAAACCGGAGCUACUACCGGGUAAUCUAUUGAACCGCAUGGUUCUAUAGAGAUUGACGGUUUUGCUGUCACUUAUAGAUGGAUCCGCGCCGCAUUAGCUAGUUGGUAAGGUAACGGCUUACCAAGGCAACGAUGCGUAGCCGACAUGAGCGGGUGAACGGGCACUCUGGAGCUGAGACACGGUCCAGAGUCCGACGGGAGGCAGCGGUAGGGAAGCUUCCGCAAUGGGCGAAAGACUGACGGAGCGGCGGCGGGUGGGUGAUGAAGGUCUUCGGGUCGGAAAACGCUGUUAGGGGUGAAGAACAAAUGUGUAAGUAACUAUGCACGUCUUGACGGUACUUAAUCAGAAAGCCACGGCUAACUACGUG
rnacentral:rRNA from 1 species